GACAGAGGGUGCAAACGUUGUUCGGAUUUACUGGGCGUAAAGCGCGUGUAGGCGGCUUUGCAAGUCGGAUGUGAAAUCCCACGGCUCAACCGUGGAAGUGCAUCCGAAACUGCAUCGCUCGAGUCUCGGAGAGGAAGGUGGAAUGCUUGGUGUAGAGGUGAAAAUUCGUAGAUAUCAAGCAGAACACCUGCGGCGAAGGCGGCCUUCUGGACGAUGACUGACGCUGAGACGCGAAAGCGUGGGGAGCAAACAGG
rnacentral:rRNA from 1 species